rnacentral:rRNA from 1 species
GAUGAACGCUAGCUACAGGCUUAACACAUGCAAGUCGAGGGGAAACGAUAUUGGAAGCUUGCUUCCGAUAGGCGUCGACCGGCGCACGGGUGAGUAACGCGUAUCCAACCUGCCCAUCACUUGGGGAUAACCUUGCGAAAGUAAGACUAAUACCCAAUGACGUCUCUAGAAGACAUCUGAAAGAGAUUAAAGAUUUAUCGGUGAUGGAUGGGGAUGCGUCUGAUUAGCUUGUUGGCGGGGUAACGGCCCACCAAGGCGACGAUGGGUAGGGGUUCUGAGAGGAAGGUCCCCCACAUUGGAACUGAGACACGGUCCAAACUCCUACGGGAGGCAGCAGUGAGGAAUAUUGGUCAAUGGGCGCGAGCCUGAACCAGCCAAGUAGCGUGGAGGACGACGGCCCUACGGGUUAUAAACUCCUUUUAUAAGGGGAUAAAGUUGGCCAUGUAUGGCCAUUUGCAGGUACCUUAUGAAUAAGCAUCGGCUAAUUCCGUGCCAGCAGCCGCGGU